CAGUAAGAUGACAGUUCGCGGAAAAUCGAGGAACUAAAAAUGGUUCAAAAUAUUCGCUGGAAAAAUAUCAAAAUAAACGUUCAACCGGGUUGAAUGGAACUUAUAUUUAAAAUUUAUGUAUUUUUUCCUAUAAUAUAUAGUGAUAAUAGUGCAAAAAUGUUUACGGACCGGCCUUGCAGUUUUAUGUUGUAAAGCAGUUGAUGGUGGCUCCGGAUCGGUGGUGGAGACUCCGGACGGCGGCAUCGAGGCACAGCGCGCACCGGAGAUGUCUGCUCCGAGCUCGUUUGGGAGCUGUAUAGCUCCUGGCUGCUGUCCGAACACCUGGAAGAGGUACUCAGCGUUUGGAUUCACAACGACGGUGCAGAUAACUUGAGUGGUCGUGGCCAGGCACGAGUUGCUGUCAAAAGUCAAUACUUACCGGAACCAAUAUGAGUCACUGCGGAACCAGCGUGCCGUGCACAGGAAACGUAUCGUAAACCCGAUUACGAGGCCGAGGACGAAAUUUUUUAUAUUGUAUACAAUUUAUAAUAAAAAUAAAUAUAAGAAC